rnacentral:rRNA from 1 species
CACUUCUAAGGAAGGCAGCAGGCGCGCAAAUUACCCAAUCCGGACUCAGGGAGGUAGUGACAAGAAAUAACAAUAAACCGGCUUAUGCCGGUUUAAUUGGAAUGAGUACAAUUUAAACAUCUUAACGAGGAACAAUUGGAGGGCAAGUCUGGUGCCAGCAGCCGCGGUAAUUCCAGCUCCAAUAGCGUAUACUAAAGUUGUUGCAGUUAAAAAGCUCGUAGUUGGAUUUCUGUGGGGACGGAGCGGCCGGCCGCAACACGCGGUUCGAGCUAGCGCUUUCCCUACAUCCUGCCGCGAACCGUGCUACCAUUAAUUUGGUGGCGCCGGGGAUCGGCUCGAUUACUUUGAGAAAAAUAGAGUGUUCAAAGCAGGCCACAUGCCUUGAAUAAGUUAGCAUGGAAUAAUAACUAAGGACUUCAGUUCUAUUUUGUUGGUGUUCGGGACUGAAGUAAUGAUUGAUAGGGACAGUUGGGGCGGUCUGUAUUCCAAAGCGAGAGGUGAAAUUCUUAGACCUUCGGAAGACAAACAGCUGCGAAAGCGUUCCGCAAGGAUGUUCCCUUUGAUCAAGAACGAAAGUUGGGGGAUCGAAGACGAUCAGAUACCGUCGUAGUCUCAACUAUAAACUAUACCAGCUAGGGAUCGGCCAACGUUAUUUUAUACCGACUUGGUCGGCACCUUAUGAGAAAUCAAAGCAUCUGGGUUCCGGGGGGAGUAUGGUCGCAAGGCUGAAACUUAAAGGAAUUGACGGAAGGGCACCACCAGCCGUGGAGCCUGUGGCUUAAUUUGACUCAACACGGGAAAACUUACCAGGUCCAGACAUAGUAAGGAUUGACAGAUUGAUAGCUCUUUCUUGAUUCUGUGGGUGGUGGUGCAUGGCCGUUCUUAGUUGGUGGAGUGAUUUGUCUGGUUAAUUCCGUUAACGAACGAGACCCCAGCCUGCUAAAUAGCGCGCGUGAGCUUUGCUCGCGGCGAGCUUCUUAGGGGGACUCUGAUGCGCGAUAGCACAUGGAAGUUUGGGGCAAUAACAGGUCUGUGAUGCCCUUAGAUGUUCUGGGCCGCACACGGGCUACACUGGCGCCUGCAACGAGCAUAUCAGCUGGCCCGAGAGGGUCUUGGCUAAUCUUUUGAACCGGCGCCGUGCUUGGGAUUGACCUUUGCAAUUGUUGGUCAUGCAACGAGGAAUGCCUUGUAAACGCGAGUCAUCAGCUCGCAUUGAAUACGUCCCUGCCCUUUGUACACACCGCCCGUCGCUCCUACCGAUGAAUGUUCCGAUGAAAUUUUCGGAGAGCACCUGUGAACUUGGCUCUGCCUUGCGAACGGGAGGCUCAAAGUCACUUAAAUCUGAACAUUUC